rnacentral:rRNA from 1 species
GAAAUUUGAAGGAAUCUGCUUCUAGUACGAGAGGACCGAAGCGGACGAACCUCUAGUGUACCUGUUGUUAUAUCAAUAGCAUCGCAGGGUAGCUACGUUCGGCAGGGAUAAGCGCUGAAAGCAUAUAAGUGCGAAACCCAUCCUAAGAUAAGAUUUCCCUGAAGACUUCCAGAAGAAUACUGGUUUGAUAGGCCACAGAUGUAAGUACAGUAAUGUAUUUAGUCGAGUGGUACUAAGUAGUCGUUCGACUUGACUUCUUUUUAU